rnacentral:rRNA from 1 species
UACAUGGGGUGCAAACGUUGCUCGGAAUUACUGGGCGUAAAGGGCGCGUAGGCGGCCUUCUAAGUCGAACGUGAAAUCCCUGGGCUCAACCCAGGAACUGCGUCCGAUACUGGAAGGCUUGAAUCCGGGAGAGGGAUGCGGAAUUCCAGGUGUAGCGGUGAAAUGCGUAGAUAUCUGGAGGAACACCGGUGGCGAAGGCGGCAUCCUGGACCGGCAUUGACGCUGAGGCGCGAAAGCCAGGGGAGCAAACGGG